CGCCGACGGGGCGCCGGCCGGUUAUGAGCUCCAGUAGGACUACGCCGAAGCUGUAGACGUCGCUCUUCUCGUCUACUUUCAAGGUGUACGCAUACUCUGCAGCUCGAUCAGAAACAAAAGAUUUAGCUUUCACAAGAACCGACGCUUGUUACGUCAGCCUCAGAUUCAGUGCGAUUUCCCAUGAAAAUCCCUAAGCUCCGCUCUACUUUCUGCGCCACAAUUCACGAAAAGUAAAAGACAGAAGAUGGAAGAAAGAAUUAUACCUGGAGCAAUGUAACCGUAAGAUCCUGCUAUUGCUGACAUGCAUUGUGAGGCACCUCCAUCCACCAAGAAUUUGGCGAGCCCAAAAUCGGCAACAUGAGCUUCAAAGCUCGAGUUCAACAGUAUGUUGUUGGAUUUAACAUCCCGAUGAACGAUCAAAGGCGAACAGUCGUGGUGCAGAUAGCACAGACCUUUGGCUGCAUCCAGUGCAAUUUUGUACCUCAAGUUCCAGCUCAAGAAUCCACCUUUUUUUCCAUGAAGGGCCUCUCCCAAGCUUCCAUUCCUCAUAUAUUCAUAAACAAGAAGAUUUGUGUCCUUGUUGGAACAGAAAGCCAGGAGCCUGACAAUGUUCCUGUGCCUGAUGUUACCUAGUGUCCGAAUCUCAGCUUUAAAGCCAUGAUCAUGGCCGCUGGUGCUGUUGAAUCCCAGCAAUUUCUUAAUUGCAAUCUCAACUCCAUUUGGCAUUUUACCAUAGUAGACAAUCCCAGCUCCCCCCCGGCCGAUCACGUUGCCAUCUUUGACACACUCCAGGACAUCAGAGACUGAGAAAUCAAGUUUUUGGAAGGCUGUCAUUUUCCAGGAAUUCGAAUCAUUCUUUUUGAAUGACUUAGCCUUGAUUAUGGCUGCUGCUGCAAAUGCUAGGGAACACAUUAACAGGCCGAGGGCGAAGAUUAGCUUGAAUGCUCCCUGGGAUUUUCCAGGUGCACUUGUGGUUAUUCUAAAAUUGCAGGGAUUUUGAAGUGGAGGUCCACAGAGUUGAGGAUUACCAACAAAAGAAGAUGAAUUGAAAACCGAAAACUGGCCAAAUUCGGGGAGCUUGCCGGAGAAAUCAUUGAAUGAAAAAUCAGCUAUUAUGAGACUCCUCAUGGAGCCAAUUGAUUGGGGUAUGGCUUCGCUCAAGUGGUUUCUUGAUAGGUUCAAGUAGUUCAAUAUUCGGAUCUUGGAUAUUUCUUGUGGAAUUGAACCAGAAAGGUUGUUCUGGCUUAAGUCCAGGUAAUUGAGAUGAACACAACUCCCGAUUUCAUGUGGGAUUUCUCCAGUGAAAGUGUUUCCACUCAGGUCAAGCCGUACUACUUGGUGAAGCUCACCUAUGGAAGGAGGAACCGGACCAGAAAAAUUGUUUCCUCUAAGGACUAGAAUUUGGAGUGAAGAAAGGUUUGAAAUGGAAAACGGCAAGGGCCCUGAGAGCUGGUUAUUGGACAGGUUCAUUUGGCCUAACUUGGAUUGGUUCGAUGAAGAAUCUUUGUUUUCAGGUAAGAAACCAGACAGCAUAUUAUUCUGCAGUUCAAGAAAGUUUAGUUCCGGGAGGUAAAUAAAACCUCGUGGAAUGCUACCAUUUAAGUAGUUCUGCCCCAGCCUCACCCUAACAAGACUUGUACACAAGCCUAAGCCUUCUGGGAUCGGCCCAAAAAGAAAGUUCUUGUGAAGAAUUAAUAUGCUGAGCUGGGUAGAGGCGCACAAGUAUUCAGGGAUUGUACCAGUGAGUUUGUUUGAAGACAAAUCCAGAUUCUGCAGCCUCUGAUUCUGGCCAAGAUUCCUUGGGAUCGUACCUGUGAAGUUGUUUGUCCAGAGAGCAAGAGUUUCCAGUUCUGGAUAGUCAGCAACAAACUCUGGUAUUGAUCCAUGGAAUCUGUUUAUGAACAGAUUGAGAAGCCUGAUUUGCUUGAGGUACGCAAGCUCAUAUGGGAUUUCUCCACUGAAUUGGUUCAAAGAAAGAUCAAGAUUUACCAGGCCCGUCAAGUUGCCUAAUUCCUUGGGGAUUUGCCCUGAGAGUCGAUUGACAUGCAGAAACAAUGUGUCCAAGAACUUUAGGCUCCCCAGCUCUGGAGGGAUUGGACCAUCCAAGUCACAAGUUGAAAGAUCCAGAUGGACCAAAUUUGACAACUUCCCGAGCUCUCUUGGAAUUCCACCUUGGUAAGAAUUGUAAUAUCCCAAGUAAAGCUCCCUCAAGUUGGUUAGAUUUCCCAAUUCUUGUGGGAUUGCACCUUCCAGGUCAUUCCCAGCCAAUGACAGGUACUCCAGUGUAAAGAUAUUCCCGAAGCUGCCUGGAAUUCUUCCAUAGAAAUAGUUCCCUCCCAGCUCCAAGUGCCUGAGGUUCUUCAAACUUGAGAGACCAAGUGGAAGGUAACCGGAGAAAUUGUUGUUAUAUGCGUCGAAUGAUUCUAAAUCGGGUAUGCUGGAGUAGUCCCAAUCCAAGCUGCCACUGAACUGGUUGUUGGAUAUGUUGAGAAACCGAAGAGAGCUCAUAUUCUCAACCUUGAUCUCUCCUGUGAAGUUGUUUCCAUCAAUGUAAAACUCCAUAAGCCUGUCCAGCUUCAAUACUUCAUCUGAAACAGAGCCAUAGAGACCCAUACUUGAUAAGUUGAGAGAAACCACUCUGUCACGGGCGCAUUUGAUUCCUCCCCAUGAACAGACUGAAGUGGAAUCAGAAGAAUUCCACGUGCUUAAAUCCAUGUCGCUCGAGUAUUGAAAUCCUUGUUUCAGUGAGACUAACACUUGAAAAUCAGAAAUGAGGGAAGAAGAAGAAGAUGAAGAAGAAGAAGGAAGAGGAAUGGUGGCAAGUGAGAUGACAACUAGUGUUGAAACAACGAAGGCAGCCAUAGUUCCUGGGAAAUGUUUCAUGGAAAGCGAUAAGUUUGGAAGGGCUUGAAGAAAAUACAAAGGAUUAUAACAGGCUGCCCGGUGAGGAGAUUACCAGUAAAGGAAAGAAAAAAAGUAGAGGGAAUCUGAGGAAACCAUUCAAGCUUGUAUCUGUUUAAAGAAUCAAUCAUCUUGUAAAGAGAGUAUUCGACCUCAAGGAAGAAGCUACCUCUUCCCUUUUCUCCCUCCUGCUUUACUUGUCUUCCUUGUGUUUGUUUUUUUCUUCCUUUCAGCUCACAAGAGAUGAAUGAGAUCAGACCAGCUAAUUUGUUGUGUAAAUUUGUUUUGCAGAGAUUUAUGAUGAACUUAUGAAAUAAAAGGACACCAGACAAACGAAGCAGAUGGUGAACUUGAAAUGGGAGGAGGGGGGCACACCCAAAAGAAGGCAAAAACCAGCCGUUGGAUGACACGGAUUUAAGGGUCAGAUUUGAUGCAACAAGAUGAGAAAAAAAAAAAAGUAAAAUGGCUUCUGGCUCUGGUACAUCAUCAGGAGAUCCCCAUGAAGGUAAAAAAACAUCUGAUCUGAUCUGAUGAUCAUCAUCAUCUUCAAGUGUAAGGAUAAAAAGUUUGGGUGUGGUGGGGUGGGGGACAUGAGAUGAGAUGAGACGAGAGACCUGCUGCCAAUGCCAUGGAGCAAUACUGGGCUGGGCUGGGUUGGGUUGUAGUACCCCCAAAAAAGGAAAUCAAAAUGGGGAGUUUGUUUAAAGCUUUAUCAGAGUUUUAGAAGAUGGAAUAGUCCUAAAGAGAGUGAGUGAGCGCUGGCAAAAAAGCAAAAGCAGUGAGGUGAAAUAAUAUUUGAAAAUUGAUAUGGGAGUCCAAACUCGCUUUAAAAAACGAAAAAAAAGGCUUCAAAAGCGAUGCCGGCCGCGCGGAAAGCGAUGGCGUCUGCACGGAAAUUUGAGCGAAGCGGAAUUCUAUGUCCUUUAAUCCGUGAGCGGCGGCUGCAAUUAUGAGCACGGAAGGCUAUGCAUGGAAGUGAGCGAAGCGGCGGCCGGUGCGGAAUUUAAGCGGCGGUUUGCGCGGACUCCAUGAGCGGCGGUCGCAUUAAUUUUCGUUGCAUUUAUUAUCGCUGGGUCAACGGCUGCAUUUAAUGCCCAGGAUCCUUCAACUCUGCAUUUAUUUCUGCACUCUCUCAAUUCCCAUAUUUAAUUCAUGGACUACUUUUUAGCCAAUUUUUGGCUAUUUUUGUGUAAUUUUUAUUCUAAAACAUUCUAGAAAAUAGGUAGUUAUUAGUAGCUAUUUUUAGAGUUAGUUAUUUAUGGUUAUUUUUAGACGCAGUUAGUAGCUAUUUUUAGAGUUAGUUA